rnacentral:rRNA from 1 species
ACGUAGGGGGCAAGCGUUGUCCGGAUUUACUGGGCGUAAAGGGUGCUCAGGCGGGUUUGUAAGUCAGUGGUGAAAUCCCGGGGCUUAACUCCGGAACUGCCUUAGAAACUGCAAGGCUAGAGUACGGAAGAGGUUGAUGGAAUAUCUGGUGUAGCGGUGAAAUGCGUAGAUAUCAGGAAGAACACCAGUGGCGAAGGCGAUUAACUGGUCCUUUACUGACGCUGAGACACGAAAGUGUGGGGAGCGAACAG